rnacentral:rRNA from 1 species
AUGCGCCAUCUUCAUCAUGCUCACAAUCUUCCCUGGUUGCUGAGUGGGGACUUAAACAAAAUUCAGUCUCUACAUGAAAAAGAGGGUGGGAACCCACGCCCACAACAGUAUAUGCAUGCAUUUCAAAAUGCUAUUGAUGAUUGUGAGCUAAGGGAUAUGGGUUUUUUGGGUGAUAAAUUCACAUGGCAUCGAGGACGGAUCCGAGAACGACUAGACAGGGGUUUGGUGAAUGAAGCAUGGGCGAAUCUUUUCCCCAUGACAGCUUUGGAAAACUUACAGUACAACCACUCGGAUCAUAGACCAUUGUUGGUCAACACUGAACACUAU